GUGAAGUGCUUUGAAGGCUGCCAACAAAAUGCCAAGUCAGCCCAUUGACAGAAAAAGGAAGAGAAACCUUUGGAAAAUACAUUAUUGUUUCCCAUUAGCUUACUUUCCAUCUGAAUCUGAGCACCUGACCUGAGGAAGGAGAGUGAACAUAGAAUGGCGAAUUUGUUCUAGGACAGUGAAUGAUCUGAGAGUGUUGGGAAGAGGGAGCCAUGCUGCGUAGACCAGAAAGCAGGGCAAUGGAGGAAUGGAUACAAUAGAUGCAGAAAAAAACAUUUGAGAAAAUACAACAACAUGGGAUGAAAACUCUCAGGAAACCAGGGAUAAAUGGAAUUUCCUCAACCUGACAGAGCAUUUAUGAAAGACCUGCAGUUAACAUCAUAUUUACUGGUGAAAGAUUGAAUAAUUUCCCUCUAGGUUGGGAAAUAAGGGAAAGCAUGACCACUUUCACCACAUCUAUUUGACAUUGUACUGGAAGUCAUAGCCAGUGCAAUAAGACAGGAAAAAGA